rnacentral:lncRNA from 1 species
CGCAGAUCUGCGCCACUACCUUGUACGGGCCCUGCCAAGAUGCUUGCAUCUUGUUGGCCUUCACAGGUUUGAGCACCAAUACCUUUUGCCCAACCUGGAAGACCCGCUGUCGGGCACCCUGAUCGUACCAUCUCUUCUGUCUCCCCUGGGCCGCCUGGAGAUUCUCCCUUACCAUCAAAGACAACUCCAUGCGGUCGCGGAGUUCCAGAACAUAUGGCAC